rnacentral:rRNA from 1 species
UACUAGAGUAGCACUCGCAUAUCAAUAAGCGGAGGAAAAGAAACUAACAAGGAUUCCCCUAGUAACGGCGAGUGAAGCGGGAAGAGCUCAAAUUUGAAAUCUUAAAGGGUUUCCCUUUACGAAUUGUAGUUUAAAGAAGUGUUUUCUGUUGAGGUUUUGGUAAAAGUUCUUUGGAAUAGGACAUCAUAGAGGGUGAGAAUCCCGUAUUUGACCUUUACUUUCAACUUUGUGAUACACUUUCAAAGAGUCGGAUUGUUUGGGAAUGCAGUCCAAAAUGGGUGGUAAAUUUCAUCUAAAGCUAAAUAUUGGCGAGAGACCGAUAGCGAACAAGUACCGUGAGGGAAAGAUGAAAAGAACUUUGAAAAGAGAGUUAAACAGUACGUGAAAUUGUCAAAAGGGAAGCGUUUGACACCAGUGUUGUUUUUCUGAAAAUCAAUUAAAGAACUGUUUAUGCUAAGCUGUUUAGACUUUAUCAGCUAUCUACUUUAGUUUUGAGCUUUUCUUUAAUGCACUUUUCAGUUAACAAGUCAACAUCAAUUUCUUUUGCUGUAAAAAAGCUUGAGGAAGGUGGCUUGAGAUUCGUCUUAAGUGUUUAUAGCCUCUUGCCUAUGCAGUCGGAGAGAUUGAGGUCUGCAGCGUAGAUCCUUCGGGGCUAAAUGCAUUUGUGCUAAGUUAUAGCAUUUUAUAGACAACUUGUUGACUAUGAUUUGUCUUGUAGCUUACUCGCUUAUGUUAUUUUACCUACGCUUAGGAUGUUGAGCUACUGAGACAUAGA